AAAUUGAAGAGUUUGAUCAUGGCUCAGAUUGAACGCUGGCGGCAGGCCUAACACAUGCAAGUCGAACGGUAACAGGAAGCAGCUUGCUGCUUUGCUGACGAGUGGCGGACGGGUGAGUAAUGUCUGGGAAACUGCCUGAUGGAGGGGGAUAACUACUGGAAACGGUGGCUAAUACCGCAUAACGUCGCAAGACCAAAGAGGGGGACCUUCGGGCCUCUUGCCAUCAGAUGUGCCCAGAUGGGAUUAGCUAGUUGGUGAGGUAACGGCUCACCAAGGCGACGAUCCCUAGCUGGUCUGAGAGGAUGACCAGCCACACUGGAACUGAGACACGGUCCAGACUCCUACGGGAGGCAGCAGUGGGGAAUAUUGCACAAUGGGCGCAAGCCUGAUGCAGCCAUGCCGCGUGUAUGAAGAAGGCCUUCGGGUUGUAAAGUACUUUCAGCGGGGAGGAAGGUGUUGUGGUUAAUAACCGCAGCAAUUGACGUUACCCGCAGAAGAAGCACCGGCUAACUCCGUGCCAGCAGCCGCGGUAAUACGGAGGGUGCAAGCGUUAAUCGGAAUUACUGGGCGUAAAGCGCACGCAGGCGGUCUGUCAAGUCGGAUGUGAAAUCCCCGGGCUCAACCUGGGAACUGCAUUCGAAACUGGCAGGCUUGAGUCUUGUAGAGGGGGGUAGAAUUCCAGGUGUAGCGGUGAAAUGCGUAGAGAUCUGGAGGAAUACCGGUGGCGAAGGCGGCCCCCUGGACAAAGACUGACGCUCAGGUGCGAAAGCGUGGGGAGCAAACAGGAUUAGAUACCCUGGUAGUCCACGCCGUAAACGAUGUCUACUUGGAGGUUGUGCCCUUGAGGCGUGGCUUCCGGAGCUAACGCGUUAAGUAGACCGCCUGGGGAGUACGGCCGCAAGGUUAAAACUCAAAUGAAUUGACGGGGGCCCGCACAAGCGGUGGAGCAUGUGGUUUAAUUCGAUGCAACGCGAAGAACCUUACCUGGUCUUGACAUCCACGGAAGAAUUCAGAGAUGGAUUUGUGCCUUCGGGAACCGUGAGACAGGUGCUGCAUGGCUGUCGUCAGCUCGUGUUGUGAAAUGUUGGGUUAAGUCCCGCAACGAGCGCAACCCUUAUCCUUUGUUGCCAGCGGUUAGGCCGGGAACUCAAAGGAGACUGCCAGUGAUAAACUGGAGGAAGGUGGGGAUGACGUCAAGUCAUCAUGGCCCUUACGACCAGGGCUACACACGUGCUACAAUGGCGCAUACAAAGAGAAGCGACCUCGCGAGAGCAAGCGGACCUCAUAAAGUGCGUCGUAGUCCGGAUUGGAGUCUGCAACUCGACUCCAUGAAGUCGGAAUCGCUAGUAAUCGUGGAUCAGAAUGCCACGGUGAAUACGUUCCCGGGCCUUGUACACACCGCCCGUCACACCAUGGGAGUGGGUUGCAAAAGAAGUAGGUAGCUUAACCUUCGGGAGGGCGCUUACCACUUUGUGAUUCAUGACUGGGGUGAAGUCGUAACAAGGUAACCGUAGGGGAACCUGCGGUUGGAUCACCUCCUUACCUGAAAGAA
rnacentral:rRNA from 1 species